AGGCUGAAGCUCAGGGCCCUGUCUGCUCUGUGGACUCAACAGUUUGUGGCAAGACAAGCUCAGAACUGAGAAGCUGUCACCACAGCCCCUUAGCUGCUGCCUGCCAGGCCUGGAGACCUUUGUUCUCUUCUUUAAACUGCUGCUUUCUCAUCAGAAAAUGAAGUUCCUCUCCAUACCACCUCUCUGAAGGGCUGUGAAGCUCGAAGUGGCAGCUUAAAAAACUGCCCAUCUCAGGAGGUGUCUUAAGAAGGAGGACAUACCGCUGGCUCCUGCCUUUCUCACUUAGCCAGGUCUGAUACCUGUGUUGUUUUCACUGUGGCCAUUUUAGGAUUUUUCAAAGGCUUUCAGAAAGCAACAUGCUACCGUACCCCUUAUACACCAAAACUGGUUUUCAUUUUGGAAUAUAAAAGUGAGAUUUCUCCACCAGUACAAUAAAGUUGUUACAAGUG
rnacentral:lncRNA from 1 species